GCUCGGCUUCUGGACUGGCACCACAUCCUCUCCCAGCAGCACUGACGUCUCACCCCUCACAUUCCCUGCUCCUGGCAGCCAGUCUCCACCCACUCCCAAUUUGCAUUUACUCCAACUGCAUCAGCAGAGCUCCUAGCUUCCUCCAAAGAGAACAGGUGCCUGCCGCUGCUACCAAGCUGGGGUGGGGGCGGGGUGCGAGGGCUUUGCACCUCACUCCCAGCUCCUGGCAAGCCUUUCUUCAAGGUGAAACGCGUUCUCUUCUUGAUAUUUGUGUUACACAGAUCUGGAGACAGAGGUGAACGAAGAAUCGUGAUCCACCUGGGAGGCUGCAUCUGUUAUAGUCUUGGGUCCGGGACCAAGGAGGAGAUGGCUGACUUUGCCCUUGGCCUGGUUGGAGAGUGAGGAGAGGCACAGGCACCUGGAGGCACCGGAAGACGGGCUUUCCUGCUCUGAGGGGACUGACACAUGUAAUCAUAUAGUUUAGCAGAACAACAAAGUGGCCCUGGCUACAGGAUUUGUCACUGGCUGUGAGCAGGGCUGGCUGCAGGCAUCGCCUCCAGAAAGAUCCCUGCAGGAGACUCCUGCUGGAUCCUGCACCUGCUGCCUCCUGCCUGCUCUAGUUGGGACAGGCCAACCUGGACUUUCAGAAUUUGAUUCUGGAAAAGUCCUUCUGGGAAAGUGCAGUGUGAGCUGCUUCGGGAACACUCCCCAUGCUGUGGAGAUGGACACUCAUUGUCCCCAUUAAGUAAGAAAGGUGCAGCAAGUUACAGUCGGCAACUCUGCCUGGACCCAAGGAUGAAUGGCCCACAGCUGUCUUUGGUGGCUUUCAGGUCAGUUGAUGACCUUGGUCUUUAUUUCCCCGAAAUAUGAAAGCUCUCAGAGGUGGGCUUCCUUAGCCCCACCCCACACCCUGACCUCUCACCUCUGCCCACAGUGUAAAUGUCCUUCUAUCUCCCUCUCUGCCAUGACUGGGUGGUUCAUUCCACCACAAACACAGUUAAUUACAUAGCCCAUCUUUAAAAUGCCCAUCUCUGGCCCUCUCUUGCCCAGGUCCCCUUGAUUUCUCUACUUCCCUUGACAGCAAAACUCUGACAGGAGCGGAUUAAAGAUGGCAGCCACUAUCCAAACUGUCAUGGCCUCUCUCUCCCAUGUCCUUCUCAAACCUGGCUACCAGGCUUCCAUGUUCUCCCUUCUCAGUUUCCCUCAACCUACAUGCAUGCCAAAGCUAUCAUUCAGUCUUCCAGCCUCAGGGGCAGCAGAGGUUGGCUGCACCCAUCUUCCGGAUUCUCCACUCCAUCUGCCUCCCCACUCCCCAACCCCUCUCUCUUUUGUAGAUUUAUAAUGAUCUCCUGACUUUUGGAGAUUGGGGAAGCCCAGAGCUUGAGAGUCACUUAUUCCUUCUGUCCCACAUGCCAGUUCUCAGCCUGUAUAGUUUGAUUGCCAGGUUGACCAGGUGGAGAAAUGCUCAGAGGAUUCCUGAAGCACAGUUUAGGACCUGUUUUUGAAGAUCUUUCCAUCAGUCAUGAAGUUUCUAACCUAAGGAAGACUUAAGCCACUAAUGGAGUAGAAAAUCUGUGUUGGGAGGCACUGCAACUGUAACAGACGGGCCUAACUGGAGGAAGUUGCUCACUGGGGACAUCUUUAUGGGCUGCUUCUUGCCCCGGACCCUUCUGGUUACUGCUCCACUGUCUUUCAGUUCACCAUGGUAUGAACUGUUCUCUCACCCUCCUUGUCACAGUGGACAGAACCCCUGAAUCCAUGAGCAGAAUAAACCUUCACUUCCCGCUCUGCUUUAGUUCCAAAAUGUCCCCUGCAGGGUCACGUGUCUGAACACUUAGCCUACUUCUGACAGUCUUUUGGGGCAACACUGUGGAACCCUUUUAGUAGGUGACAUAGCUGGGAGAGGUAGGUCACUGGGGACAGGUCUUGGAGGGAUGUAGACCACCAUGCUUCAGGCUUUGAGCUCUUGGUUUUCUGCUCUGCCAGGACUGGGGGGUAGUAUCUACUGACCAGAAUAGGGUUGUGACCUCAUCUUUAUAAGCCCAGAUGUUUAUGUAAGAGACUGGCAAGCAGUGGGCGCUUAGUGCAUGCUUGCUGAUUGGAGGGAUACAAGUUUCCUUCUCCACCCAGGUAUUUCAAGUUACGUGCACACACGGAUGGUUUCUUGCCAUGCCUGAGGCUUAGGCACUGGUUGUCUUCAGCUGUCAGUGCCAGUCUUCAGACUGUUCUGGAGCGCCCCGAGAAUGAUCCAUGGUGGCCAUACUAUCUGCUUUGAAUGAGUGGCUUUAUUGAGUAUAGAGUAAGCCAACGUCAAAGAAUGAAUAGGAGUGAUAGAAGCAGAUAGUAAAACCAUCAUCAAAUCUGGUGCAGAAGGCAUCCAGCAGGAACUGGCAGAGAAACCCCGACUGAGUCAGUCAGGAGUCAGUGAAGUUCCUUAGAGUGGAAGGCAGAGCAAUGGGUAGCACAGCUGAGGCUUCCUAGGGAAAGAACAGAUAGCAACAGUAAGGGAAUGCCAUCAAACGGAGGGAUCCAAAUAUCUAGCAGAGAUCCACUGGGGAAGGAGAGGCAGUCCCCUGGAGAUCUUGAUCAUAAGGGUUCUCUCCACUGAUGAGCUGACUUUAUGGAUGAAGCUCAGGUUUCCUCUAUACCACAGGCAAUUUUUAUUAUCACAGAGAAGAUGAUAGUAACCUCUGAUGGACAGGUUUUGACUUCUAUCUGUUCUCAAGGACACACUAUUUUUCAUUCUUGGGCUAUUUGAGAUCUCUUCCCUCCUUGCUGUAGAGUUAUGGAAGCCAGUCCACUACCCAAUGGGGAAUGGGAUGGUUGGAAGACAGUUUGAGACAAAAACGGGUAGGUCUUAAAUGGAUGGAGGGCCAACCCCACAUCAGAGAAGUCUUCUCAGUGAGCUGAAGUAGCGCUGGGUAAAUUACAAUGUACCUUAUACCAUAUGCCAGCUGCAGAGAGUUCACAUGCCUUGGGUUUGAGUUCAGUAUGCCUCAGUCUUGCCCCUUCCCCGAUGUGGUCUUGAGGUGGCCACUCUCCUUAACUUCAUCAUCAAAUAAAGAAGAAGAGUAGAUGGUCUCAAAUGUGUUCACACAGUUCUAGAAAGGGUAGAGAGUGACCAGGAGUCAGACUUCAAGGAGAAGCUUGUCCACUGCUAACCUCCGUCUCCCUGAGUCUGAAAUGGGAAGUGAUGAGGAUUUUGUACCAUGCAGGCUAAGAAUUAGAUAUAAGGUAACCGAGGGAAACCAUGGCCCCAUCUUGGUAGCUGUAUCUGUUGCUGGCCCAGUGGCUCCUUUGUGGAUGAACAUCUUGAAGUUGUGGUGAGGCUGUUCCCACCAGAUCAGGAAUGAACUCACCAAGGCAUCUUUCCGCAUGUGUGCACUAACAAAGGGUCUGCCCUGUCCAAAGGUCUGGUGUCACUACCAUGCAAUAUGAUAUGCACUGUGGUUUUAGAUACCUGUCCCCUGCUCUGUGAGCUUUUCUAGAGGAUUUUAUGAAGAACUCCCUAAAAGGGUGGUCCCAUCUACCAUGGUUUGGGAGGGGAAAGAGUGACCUUGUCAUAUAUAUGUGUCAAUCAACUCACAAAUACUCUCAAAGCGUAUCCGUAACCCACAGUGUAUAGCCCACUAAGUUCCUCUAGCCUGAGUCAGUCCACUCCUCUCUUUGCAGUGUUGGCUUCGCUUUGGUUUGCUAAAUAAACCUUUGCUCGAACUGUC